GUAUGACACGGAAGAUCCUUAUUUCGACAGUUUUUUUCGACAGACAAUUACAGUUUGAUUUCUUUUCGUAAGCUUCAAUGGAAUCGUUUGGAGGGAAUAACUUGGUUGAAUGCAACGUCUAGAUCCAAUUUGGAAAAAAAAAACGAAAAAUGCAACGGAUUUAUGACGGAUUUUGAUUCACCGGUAGGCCAAUAAAUCGGAUCGAAACGAAAAAUCCAGGAACCGGAACCAAAUAUGCCAUCAGUAGUCAGAAAAGGGGGUUUCGAUGCUGAAAACCACCGACCGCAACAUAAAUAACCCCUCAUUGACAAGUGCAGGUAGAACAGAGGAGGGUAAUCGACAAACCUCAUUCAUCUUCGGCCGUUUGGGAUGUCUGUCGGAUACAAAGCCAGACGGUGCAAAUCUAACCACCAUUAGAUAACCUGAGAUGUGUUGUGACGAUCUGAUAUGUGUACCCGCCGUUGAACGCUCUGACUUUGUAUCUAAUUAUCUACUGUUAUUCGUUAGAAAAAGGUGCUUAGCUUUUUAUCAGAUGUUCAAAGUUCAAUCGGUUUGGCAUUUGCGCAUAGAGUAAUCAGCAUCGGUUCCGUAUUAGUUUCAAAAACUUUGUUUCAAUUUCGACACAAUUGUGGACAUUAUCAAC